rnacentral:misc_RNA from 1 species
UCUCCGUAGGUGAACCUGCGGAGGGAUCAUUACACAAAUAUGAAGCGAAGCUGUAACCUCUCGAGGUUACAGCCUUACUAAAUUAUUGACCCUGCUCUUUUAAGCACUUCUUGUUUUAUUAAUAGUUUUUCUCACAAUUACGACAAACUUAAACCUUUUAUAAUAGCAAUCCACGUCAGCAACAAAUUAAUAAUUACUACUUUCAACAACGAACCUCUCGGUUCUGGCAUCGAUUAAGAACGCAUCACAUCAGAACAGCACACAUCUCAACUCCAGUCC